rnacentral:lncRNA from 1 species
CGACUGAAAAGCCUUGUGGUGAUGUAUUACCAUGGCGAACAGAUGGAGUCUUCCCUUUGCCUUUCUGAUGGCUGGACCACUCCUAGAUUGCUCUAUUAGUGAAAAGAAGGGGGCUGGCUGUGCCUAACUGUAUGGUGAGACAGCUGGAUUAUGCUGAACUCUAUCUCUAUUAGUUAAAAGAAGGGGGCUGGCUGUGCUGAACUGUAUGGUGAGAGAGCUGGAUUAUGCUGAACUCUAUGGUCGGAGGUGGCUAUGCUUAAGUAUAUGGUGUGCUUGAUUCAUCCAUGUUUGCUGCCUAUCCAGAUUGCUAGAAGCAUUAGUAAUGCCUCCAUGAAAUAUGAUCAGUUGAAGAUUCUUUUGCAUGCGUCGUUGAGUGAUUUUGUCUGCUAUCUUCUACCAACACAGGUAUUGCUAACUCUUCCUUGAGAUGUAAACAUAUGGCAAGAAUUUAGUUAUUGCCGUCUUUGGUGGAAUCUGAACCUUGGUUCCUAAGGUUUUUAGUCCUGCCCUUCGACCACUAGGCCUUCUCAUUGUGAGCGAGAUAUAACCUAGCUUCACUGCUUGUUCACCCGAACUGCGCCUUUACCAACUCCAGUCUCUCAACGGAAUGCCUAUUGAGUAGACAAAACUCGGAUGUUUUUCUGCUGUGCAUUUCUGGUCAACUCGACAUAAGACUGGGAGAAAAUGGGUGAUCGUGAGACUUGUAGAAAUAAACAGAAAAGAAGGAAAUAAAAUUCAUUAGCGAUUAACCAAUGUAAUUUAUUCCCUGUCUAUUUCCUAAUAUAAAUUUGCAUAUAUGUACAAAAUGCUGCAGCAGAAGUGGAAUUGUAAAAUAAAAGGACCCAAACCCAAAAAAGAAAAGAGAGGCAUGGAGAUUUAUGAAUAUCUAAGUUUAGAAUAUAAACUUGGGAAUUACCAGAACGGUGUCUUGUCAAAUUACCCAAGAAGCAUCUGUAAAUCCAGUCUUGAUCUUCUCCCAACCAUAGAAGUCCAGUGUGAGCUCAAGAAAUCUCAAGCUAAUGCAGUCGCAGAGGAACAAAAUAAAAUUCCUACUCUAAAAUUUUAAUUUUCUUUUUUUGCGUGUUCAAGUUAAAUUAUAUAAAUCUAUCUUGAUUAAGUAAUUUAUAUUGAUUUAUCAUGAUUAAGUGCUAAAUUGAUGUUUAUGAGAGUAUUAGUCAACUAUAGACGGUGAUAAUGGUAUGUGUAAAGACAUACUAUGGUAAAAACUUACC